rnacentral:rRNA from 1 species
GACGAACGCUGGCGGCGUGCUUAACACAUGCAAGUCGAACGCUGAAGCUCAGCUUUUGUUGGGUGGAUGAGUGGCGAACGGGUGAGUAACACGUGAGUAACCUGCCCCCUUCUUUGGGAUAACGCCCGGAAACGGGUGCUAAUACUGGAUAUUCACUGGUCUUCGCAUGGGGGUUGGUGGAAAGGGUUUUUCUGGUGGGGGAUGGGCUCGCGGCCUAUCAGCUUGUUGGUGGGGUGAUGGCCUACCAAGGCUUUGACGGGUAGCCGGCCUGAGAGGGUGACCGGUCACAGUGGGACUGAGAUACGGCCCAGACUCCUACGGGAGGCAGCAGUGGGGAAGAUUGCACAAUGGGCGCAAGCCUGAUGCAGCGACGCCGCGUGAGGGAUGGAGGCCUUCGGGUUGUGAACCUCUUUCGCUCAUGGUCAAGCCGCAACAAUGGUUGUGGUGAGGGUAGUGGGUAAAGAAGCGCCGGCUAACUACGUG